GACGAACGCUGGCGGCGUGCCUAAUACAUGCAAGUCGAACGCAUUUUCUUUCACCGUAGCUUGCUACACCGACAGAAAAUGAGUGGCGAACGGGUGAGUAACACGUGGGUAACCUGCCCAUCAGCGGGGGAUAACACUUGGAAACAGGUGCUAAUACCGCAUAAUUCCAUUUACCGCAUGGUAAAUGGAUGAAAGGCGCUUUUGCGUCACUGAUGGAUGGACCCGCGGUGCAUUAGCUAGUUGGUGGGGUAACGGCCUACCAAGGCUGCGAUGCAUAGCCGACCUGAGAGGGUGAUCGGCCACACUGGGACUGAGACACGGCCCAGACUCCUACGGGAGGCAGCAGUAGGGAAUCUUCGGCAAUGGACGCAAGUCUGACCGAGCAACGCCGCGUGAGUGAAGAAGGUUUUCGGAUCGUAAAACUCUGUUGUUAGAGAAGAACAAGGAUGAGAGUGGAAAGUUCAUCCCUUGACGGUAUCUAACCAGAAAGCCACGGCUAACUACGCG
rnacentral:rRNA from 1 species